rnacentral:misc_RNA from 1 species
CUUAAUGGUGGACUUGGAUUGUGCCGUAGUUGGCUCGUCCUGAAAUACAUUAGCUUGCACUUUUUAGGGUGCUUGGCAUGGUGUGAUAAUUAUCUGCGCCGUUGCCUAAUGCCUCUUCUAUGUGUGCUGCUAUAGUCGUCCAUUAGGACAAUAACUUAAGCUUUGACCUCAAAUCAGGUAGGACUACCCGCUGAACUUAA